rnacentral:rRNA from 1 species
AUUGAACGCUGGCGGCAGGCCUAACACAUGCAAGUCGAGCGAGCGGCGGACGGGUGAGUAAGGGCUGGGAAACUGCCUGAUGGAGGGGGAUAACUACUGGAAACGGUAGCUAAUACCGCAUACCAUCAGAUGUGCCCAGAUGGGAUUAGCUAGUGGGUGGGGGAACGGCUAACCUAGGCGACGAUGCCUAGCUGGUCUGAGAGGAUGAACAGCCACACUGGAACUGAGACACGGUCAAGACUCCUACGGGAGGCGGCAGGGGGGAAUAUUGCACAAUGGGCGCAAGCCUGAUGCAGCCAGGCCGCGUGAGUGAAGAAGGCCUUCGGGUUGUAAAGCACUUUCAGCGGGGAGGCGUUACCCGCAGAAGAAGCCCCGGCUAACUCCGUGCCAGCAGCCGCGGUAAUAC